CUGUCCUCGGAGGAGUUCAACGCGAUUUUUGCUUUUUAUGAUAAGGACGGCAGCGGCUUCAUCGACGAGCACGAGCUGGAUGCCUUGCUGAAAGACCUCUACGAGAAGAACAAGAAAGAGAUGAGCAUCCAGCAGCUCACCAACUACCGCCGGAGCAUCAUGAACCUGUCGGACGGCGGCAAGCUGUACCGCAAGGAGCUGGAGGUGGUGCUGUGCAGCGAACCCCCCCUGUAGGCUUCCCCCAUCCCCGGCCCCAUGGCGCGGUUUUCCCAUUAAAAUCCCCGCUUUGGGUGUGAUUUUUUUUUUUUUUUUCUUUCUAAUCCCAUCCACCUG
rnacentral:lncRNA from 1 species